CUCUUAGACUUAUGGAUCGUGCAUGAAUCAGUAGGCUCCUUCUUUGAAUCAGUAGGCUCCUUCUUUGAUCGUGUUAGGAUGGGUGCUAGACUUAAGGAUGGCUGCUAGAACUCGAUCUCUAAUGCAAAAGACAGCCAGAUCUUGUUGUGAGUCUAAUUUAUUGACUAAGUCCAGUGCUUCAGCUGUCUGUCAACACGGAUCAAGUGUCGAUCAAUAUUAUUGAAUGAGUGUCUAUCAACACUUCCUUAGGCAAGUGUUACCAAUCUGAUCGACUGAUUCACUAGUUUCACUAGAUCAACCGUCACAUGUUUCUAGCAAUCCUACCUCAACAGAAUUCAAUUCAGGUAAUAGACUAUGAUGUCAUGUGCGCUUAAUUAUCCUAUGAUCAGAGUUCUAGUUAGAUACUCUAGAACACAAGCAAUAAGUCCAAUUUUGUGAAGGAUCUAA
rnacentral:lncRNA from 1 species